AUUUAUAUAGUUUAAUUAAAACUUUACAUUUUCAUUGUAAUAUUAGAUAUUUAUUUAUAUCUUAUAAAUA
rnacentral:tRNA from 1 species